CAAUAGCGUAUAUUAAAGUUGUUGCGGUUAAAAAGCUCGUAGUUGGAUUUCUGCUGAGGACGAUCGGUCCGCCCUCUGGGUGAGUAUCUGGCUCGGCCUUGGCAUCUUCUUGGAGAACGUUACUGCACUUGACUGUGUGGUGCGGUAUCCAGGACUUUUACUUUGAGGAAAUUAGAGUGUUUCAAGCAGGCGCACGCCUUGAAUACAUUAGCAUGGAAUAAUAAGAUAGGACCUUGGUUCUAUUUUGUUGGUUUCUAGAGCUGAGGUAAUGAUUAAUAGGGAUAGUUGGGGGCAUUCGUAUUUAACUGUCAGAGGUGAAAUUCUUGGAUUUGUUAAAGACGGACUACUACGAAAGCAUUUGCCAAGGAUGUUUUCAUUGA
rnacentral:rRNA from 1 species